GGACAGCGUGGCAUUGUAGGGCUCCACCACCAUGUCUGACACUUUGGGUGAGAGCACCACGCUGAAGGUGUUCAUAAUGUGGUCUGGGAACUCCUUGUGGAUCUUACUGAUG
rnacentral:misc_RNA from 1 species